rnacentral:rRNA from 1 species
CCUACGGGAGGCAGCAGUAGGGAAUCUUCGGCAAUGGGGGCAACCCUGACCGAGCAACGCCGCGUGAGUGAAGAAGGUUUUCGGAUCGUAAAGCUCUGUUGUAAGAGAAGAACGUGUGUGAGAGUGGAAAGUUCACACAGUGACGGUAACUUACCAGAAAGGGACGGCUAACUACGUGCCAGCAGCCGCGGUAAUACGUAGGUCCCGAGCGUUAUCCGGAUUUAUUGGGCGUAAAGCGAGCGCAGGCGGUUGGAUAAGUCUGAAGUUAAAGGCUGUGGCUUAACCAUAGUAUGCUUUGGAAACUG